rnacentral:rRNA from 1 species
UACGGGGGGGGCAAGCGUUGUCCGGAAUUACUGGGCGUAAAGGGCUCGUAGGCGGCCAACUAAGUCGGAUGUGAAAUCCCCAGGCUCAACCUGGGAACUGCAUCCGAUACUGGAUGGCUUGAAUCCGGGAGAGGGAUGCAGAAUUCCAGGUGUAGCGGUGAAAUGCGCAGAUAUCAGGAGGAACACCAGCGGCGAAGGCGGCGCUCUGGGCCGGAACUGACGCUGAGGAGCGAAAGCGUGGGGAGCAAACAGG